rnacentral:rRNA from 1 species
AAAGAGAUGGCGACCGGGCGCACGGGUGAGUAACACGUAUCCAACCUGCCGAUAACUCCGGAAUAGCCUUUCGAAAGAAAGAUUAAUACCGGAUGGCAUACGAAUAUCGCAUGAUAUUUUUAUUAAAGAAUUUCGGUUAUCGAUGGGGAUGCGUUCCAUUAGUUUGUUGGCGGGGUAACGGCCCACCAAGACUACGAUGGAUAGGGGUUCUGAGAGGAAGGUCCCCCACAUUGGAACUGAGACACGGUCCAA